ensembl:misc_RNA Metazoa_SRP Metazoan signal recognition particle RNA
GCUGGUACAGUGGUGCAUGCCUAUAGUCCCAGCUACUCAGGAGGCUGAGGUGGAAGAACUGCUCGAGCCCAGGAGUUCUGGGCUGUAGUGCACUAUGCCAAUCAGGUGUCCGCACUAAGUUCGGCAUCAAUAUGGUGACCUCCUGGGAGCCAGGGUCCACCAGGUUGCCUAAGGAGGGGUGAACUGGCCCAGGUCAGAAACAGAGCAGGUGGAAACUCCUGUGCUGAUCAGUAGUGGGAUCGCGCCUGUGAAUAGCCACUGCACUCCAGCCUGGGCAACACAGCAAGACCCUGUCUCAA